UUUCUCUCCUUUUAUUAGUGAGUCUGGCCAGAGGUUUGUCAAUUUUGUUUCCCCUUUCAAAGAACCACUUCUUGGUUUUAUUGAUUUUUUUUCCUGUUGUUUUUAGAAUUUCUGUAUUAUUGAUUUCCUCUCUGAUCUUUAUGAUUUCCUUCCUUCUGCUGACUUUAGGUUUUGUUUGUUCUUUUUCUAAUUCAUUUAGGUGGUGGGUUAAGUUGUCAAUCUGAGAUUUUUCUUCUUUUUUGAGGAAGGCCUGCAUCUCUAUGAACUUCCCUCUAAGCACUGCUUUUGCAGCAUCCCAUAGAUUUUGAAUGGUUGUGUCUUCAUUAUCUUUAGUGUCAAGUAUUUUUUAAUCUCUUUUUUGGUUUCCUCAUUGACCCAUUGGUUUUUGAGUAGCAAGUUCUUUAGUCUCCAUGUAGUCAGUUUUUUCUCAUUUUUUUUUUCCUGUGGUUGAUUUCUAUUUUCUUGUCAUUGUAGUCAGAGAAGAUACUUGAAAUAAUUUCUAUACUCUUAAAUUUGUUGAGGUUGUCUUUGUGCCCCAGUAUGUCUCAGUCCUUGAGAAUGUUCCAUGUGCACUUGAAAAGAAUGUAUAUUCGAUUUUUUUGGAUGUAGUGUCCUGAAAAUGUCAAUGAAGUCUGACUUUUCUAUUGUUUCCUUUAGGAUCUCUGUUGCCUUAUAGAUUUUGUGUCUAGAGGAUCUGUUCAUCGAUGUGAGUGGGGUGUUAAAAGUCUCCUACUGUUAUUAUAUUCCCAUCCAUUUCUUCUUUUACGUCUGUUAGUAUUUGUUGUAGGUAUCUGGGUGCUCCUAUAUUAGGGGGUUAUAUAUUGAUGAUUGUAAUAUCCUCUUCUUGAAUAGAUCCUUUUGUCAUUAAAUAGUGUCCUUCUUUGUCUUUCUUUAUGGCCUUCAUUUUUAAGUCUAUUUUGUCUGACAUGAGUAUUGCAACUCCUGCUUUCCUGUCUUGUUCAUUGGCAUGAAAUGUCUUUUCCCAUCCUCUCACUUUCAAUUUAUAUGUGUUCUUUGCCCUAAGAUGAGUCUCUUAUAGACAGAAGAUUGUAGGUUUUUGCUUUUUUAUCCAAUCUGCCACUCUGUGUCUUUUGAUUGGAGCAUUCAGUCCAUUGAUAUUUAAGGUAUGUAUUGAUAAAUAUGCAUUUAUUGCCAUUUUAGACCUUGUUUUUCAGUUGAUUCUAUGUUCUGUUCUUUUUUGGUUGGAUGAUUUCCUUUUAUUUUAUGCUUGUAUACUUUUUAGUUUUUGUGAAUAUAAUGUUUGGUUUUGAUUUGUGGUUGCCCUGUUUUUCAAGUAUGUUAACACCUUCCUAUAUCUGCUCACUUUAGCCUGACAGUCCUAUAGGCUCAAA
rnacentral:lncRNA from 1 species